rfam:Populus trichocarpa scaffold_1_contig_113, whole genome shotgun sequence.
CAAUUUAUUUAGAUUAGAUCCUCAUUUAGUUGUGUCAAUCCUUACAUGAGUGAUCACCAUCUUUAAUUUUCACAAGUUUAAGUGCAUCAAUUUGUUGUUAGGAAAAAAAUUAAAAAAAUAAAGAUCAAAAUAAUAA